rnacentral:tRNA from 1 species
GCGCGCUUAGCUCAGUUGGCUAGAGCGCAUCGUUGACGUCGAUGAGGUCCCAGGUUCGAGCCCUGGAGCGCGCA